UACGUAGGGACCAAGCGUUGUUCGGAUUUACUGGGCGUAAAGGGCGCGUAGGCGGCCUUCUAAGUCGAACGUGAAAUCCCCGGGCUCAACCCGGGAACUGCGUCCGAUACUGGAAGGCUUGAAUCCGGGAGAGGGAUGCGGAAUUCCAGGUGUAGCGGUGAAAUGCGUAGAUAUCUGGAGGAACACCGGUGGCGAAGGCGGCAUCCUGGACCGGCAUUGACGCUGAGGCGCGAAAGCCAGGGGAGCAAAGCGGG
rnacentral:rRNA from 1 species